UGCGCACAGCUAGGUACAGGUACUCUUCUGAGCACUGGGAAUCCAUGAAGGACACAGCAGAAAAACACCACUGCCUUCAUGGAACUUGCUUUCUGAUGUGCUAGGAAAUAUCCUGGAAAUUUAACUAUCAGCUCCUGUGAACUGAGAUUAGCCAGCCCUGGUGUACCACUGGUGAUUGCAGAAGGCCUUGCUGAGAAAAGGACAUCUGAACAGAAACCUGAAAGAGCCUGGCCCGGAGGGAGCGGAAGGAUCCCUGCCCUCGUGAGGCGUGGAGACGAGAGGGAGCCCGGCCAGACCUCACGUUGUUGGGACAGCAACGGUGCCUGUGGGAUCUGCUGCCUUAGGACCAGCAGGACACUGGUGGUCUCAUCAGAAGCCCAGGUGGACGAGUGAAUUAAGAACCAGCUCCCAUGCCUCUGCCUCGAGCCCUCGCGUGACAUGAUUCACUGAAAUUCAGCCAUGAUCUCAGGAAAAAGUCAAAGAAAAGAGAAGUGUUUGCCCAAGAUUCUACUCACAUCCCAUGAACCCAAUACUGGUAGCCUGGCCACCUCCAGUUGCAAGAGAUAUUGGGAAACGUAGUCUUCAGUGGAAUGCCUGUGUGCCUAGCUAAAAAUGAAAAACGAUCACUGAAGAACAGGUAUGAAUGGACAUGUCCUAGUUUCUGCCAGCCUUCUUUCAUGUGUUCACCCCCUAAAUAAUUACUUACUAAGUGCCAGCCAUGUGUUUGGCCCUGUUUUUACUCAGUUGCUUAUAACCCAGCAAUGUAUAUGAACACAUGCUCUACUAAAGUCACAUGGUGCUGCAUUCUCUACUAAUUCACAUGAUAUGGCUCUUCAGGGAAGGAAAGGCUCAUUUCUGUCUGGAGAGAUUUGUCCAUUUGUUUACAGAUUUGCUGAGCACUGUGGUCGGCAGCCUGUGAGAUGGCCCCCAGUGACUCCACGUCCCAGAAUGCACAUCCUUGUGCAAUCCCCUUUCCUUGAAUCUGUGCUGGACCUAGUGACUCACUUCUAGCAAACAGAAUACAACAAAUGUCACUUUUAAGAUUGGGUUACAAGAGGACUGUGACUUCCACCUCAUUCUUUCUCAGACUUCACUCUGGGGAAAUCCAGCUGCUGUGUUUCGAAUAACAUUAUGGAGAAACUUGUGUGGAAUAUCUCCGGUCAACAGUCAGCAAGGAUCCUAACGUCUGCCAACACUAUGCGAUUGAGCUAGAGAGUAGAUUUUCUGAGGAUUGCCAACAGCCAUCCAAGUGAACUGAGAAACAGAUGCCCCCCUGCAGUUGACCCUUGAGAUGACUGUAGCCUGACCGACACUUUGAUUACAGCUUUGUGAGAGGUCUGCACUACAGUCACACAGCUAAGCUGUACCUGUACCUAAAUUUCUGACUCAAAGAAACUGUGAGACAAUAAAUAUUGUUAUUUUCA